rnacentral:rRNA from 1 species
GAUGAACGCUGGCGGCGUGCUUAACACAUGCAAGUCGAACGGUGAAGGAGGAGCUUGCUCUUCUGGAUCAGUGGCGAACGGGUGAGUAACACGUGAGCAAUCUGCCCUUGACUCUGGGAUAACAGUUGGAAACAGCUGCUAAUACCGGAUACGAGACGUGACCGCAUGGUCAACGUCUGGAAAGAACUUCGGUCAAGGAUGAGCUCACGGCCUAUCAGCUAGUUGGUGAGGUAAUGGCUCACCAAGGCGACGACGGGUAGCCGGCCUGAGAGGGUGACCGGCCACACUGGGACUGAGACACGGCCCAGACUCCUACGGGAGGCAGCAGUGGGGAAUAUUGCACAAUGGGCGAAAGCCUGAUGCAGCAACGCCGCGUGAGGGACGACGGCCUCGGUUGUAACGUACUUUAGUCUACGAAGAAGACGAAGUAGACGGUACG